GACGAACGCUGGCGGCGUGCUUAACACAUGCAAGUCGAACGGAAAGGCCCUGCUUUUGUGGGGUGCUCGAGUGGCGAACGGGUGAGUAACACGUGAGUAACCUGCCCUUGACUUUGGGAUAACUUCAGGAAACUGGGGCUAAUACCGGAUAGGAACUCCUGCUGCAUGGUGGGGGUUGGAAAGUUUCGGCGGUUGGGGAUGGACUCGCGGCUUAUCAGCUUGUUGGUGGGGUAGUGGCUUACCAAGGCUUUGACGGGUAGCCGGCCUGAGAGGGUGACCGGCCACAUUGGGACUGAGAUACGGCCCAGACUCCUACGGGAGGCAGCAGUGGGGAAUAUUGCACAAUGGGCGGAAGCCUGAUGCAGCAACGCCGCGUGCGGGAUGUCGGCCUUCGGGUUGUAAACCGCUUUCGCCUGUGACGAAGCGUGAGUGACGGUAAUGGGUAAAGAAGCACCGGCUAACUACGUG
rnacentral:rRNA from 1 species